rnacentral:rRNA from 1 species
AACGAACGCUGGCGGCAGGCCUAAUACAUGCAAGUCGAACGCACCGCAAGGUGAGUGGCAGACGGGUGAGUAACGCGUGGGAAUCUUCCUUGCAGUACGGAAUAACUCCGGGAAACCGGUGCUAAUACCGUAUACGCCCUUUGGGGGAAAGAUUUAUCGCUGCAAGAUGAGCCCGCGUCGGAUUAGCUAGUUGGUGGGGUAAUGGCCUACCAAGGCGACGAUCCGUAGCUGGUCUGAGAGGAUGAUCAGCCACACUGGGACUGAGACACGGCCCAGACUCCUACGGGAGGCAGCAGUAGGGAAUAUUGGACAAUGGGCGAAAGCCUGAUCCAGCCAUGCCGCGUGAGUGAAGAAGGCCUUAGGGUUGUAAAGCUCUUUUGGCGGGGACGAUAAUGACGGUACCCGCAGAAUAAGCUCCGGCUAACUUCGUGCCAGCCGCCGCGGUAAUAC